AGAGUUUGAUUCUGGCUCAGAACGAACGCUGGCGGCGCGUCUUAAGCAUGCAAGUCGGGCGGGAUUGGGGAGCUUGCUCCCCAUGAGAGCGGCGGACUGGCGAGGAACGCGUGGGCGACGCGCCCUCCGGAGGGGGACAGCCCGUGGAAACACGGGGUAAUACCCCCAUGACAUGGGAGGCUUGGAGGCCUUCCAUCAAAGGAGCUUCGGCUCCGCCGGGGGAGCGGCCCGCGACCCAUCAGCUUGUUGGCGGGGCAAGGGCCCACCAAGGCUGCGACGGGUAUCCGGCCUGAGAGGGCGAACGGACGCAUUGGGACUGAGAUACGGCCCAGACUCCUACGGGAGGCAGCAGCUAAGAAUAUUCCGCAAUGGGCGAAAGCCUGACGGAGCGACGCCGCGUGCAACGAUGGAGGCCGGAAGGUUGUAAAGUGCUUUUACGGGAGAAGAAGAAGCGGGGGAAGCAAAGCCUCCGCGGCGACGGUAUCCCAUGAAUAAGGGGCGGCUAAUUACGUGCCAGCAGCUGC
rnacentral:rRNA from 1 species